GUAUGGCGGCUUGGCUCGGAUUUCUCAGUGUGGCUGGGCGCGUGGGGCUGCGAUUCCUCGUCCCUGGGGUAUGCGCUGUUUUCAGCUGCUCUUUUAAGGGAGGAUAACCUGGAAGUACACAUUGAUUGAGAACCUGUCCAAAUAUUACACAAAUCUAACCAAGAAUCAAAUCCAAAACUUUGGACGUACUUGAAAACAGCAAGAGAGGACAAAUGGAGGGCGUGUGUCUACAUCAGCAAACUGCAUUCUUAUCAGAGAGAGGGGGCGAGCAAACCUUGAACGGACACAACUGAUUCACAGCCUUAACAUCGUGGAGAGAAGAAUGCCUCCGGAUACGACUUCCAG